CCAUCCUGCAAGGGACAAAGAAACAUCUCAUCGGUGGUGUUGUUCUUAUAUGAGUCAGGGUGGAGCAGAUGUUAGUCCUCUGCUCUUCCUAGGUUGAUGCCUGGCUUGAUGACCAAAGCUGUCUUAUGCCUAGGACUCAUAA